AGCCAUCAAUAGUGUCUCAUUCUAGGGCAAGAAGACCACAUUAUUGUUUGAUUGUUAUUAAGGCCUUUAUAGCUUCUUUUAAACAAUUCAUUUGUAAGACCAUAAAGAAUCAUUCUUACUUCCAAUAAAAUCAUCAAAUAUCAAGAAUCUCUUUCAAGAUUGUGAUAUCAUUUUUUAUUUUUAUUUUUAUCCUACCAUCUAUUCAAAAAACAUAUUGUUCUUCACGAUUAUGUCAUUUUGAACAUUGUAAUGAUUGCAAUAUCUUGUUUAAUAAGUAAGCAAAUGAUAGCUAGUGUGUUGAAUCUACUAGUUGUAGAUUCUUUAUUUUUUCAAUCCUACAAAUAUAAAGAAACCAUAAAUA
rnacentral:lncRNA from 1 species